GUGGAAGGUGAAGGACAGUAUACUGACAUCCGGGGACUAGAAUGGUGUGAAUCCAGAUAAGCCUUGAUCUGAGGAUGAUAUAACCACAGCAAGCAACAUGGGAACCUCUAGAAAAAUCAGAAAGACUUCAUAAAACAUGAUGUGAUGUCUACCGGUGGAGACAGGCCACAAGGUCCAGAGAAGAAGGGGUGGCCUGAUCCAGGGACAAUGAAGAUGUAAUGUUGAAGAAUCAGCUGGAGGAAAGAAGGAACAGGCACCAUGGAAAAGACCAAAACAAAGCAAGGAGAGAAUGAACAUAUGCCGAUGAAUAACCCUUCCACACAGAUUUACCAGGCUUCGAAGUACAAGUCUUCCCUGAACCUGCCUCCGGUGGGAGCCCGCCUCCAGCGGCAGGACGGAGGGAUCAUAACCUCUCUAGAGCAGCUUCAUGAAAAAAUCAACGAGAUGAGGAACGUGUUCAACUCGCUGGAGAACAAGUUGCAGGCCUUGGCCUCUGAACUCAAAACUGGAUUCACGGAAGCAAUGCAAGAACUGUCAAGAAUUCAACAUGGAGAAUAUGCUUUGGAAGAGAAGGUUAAGAGCUGCCGAUGUUCCAUGGAAGAAAAAGUUACUGAGAUGAAGAAUUCGUUGAACUAUUUCAAGGAAGAGCUGAGCAAUGCCAUGUCAAUGAUUCAAGCCAUCACUUCCAAGCAAGAAGAAAUGCAACAGAAAAUUGAACAACUUCAGCAGGAAAAGAGAAGGGAAUCUCGAAAAGUUAAAGCCAAGAAAACUCAGAAAGAAGAACAUGGCUCGCAGGCUGGGCCUGCUCAGGCACAAGGAAGUCCUUUCCGUUCGAUCAAUAUCCCUGAGCCUGUUCUUCCAAGUGAAGACUUUACAAAUCUUUUGCCUUCUCAGGCCUAUGAAAAAGCCCAAGAGUCCAGAUCCAUGCAUGUCGCAGACAGUAAUGUGAAGGGGAUGAUGGGUCCUGGGAUGAACCCAACAACUCCAGAAGCAGAAGAAAACCUGAAGUCUUGCCUCUCGGCUGAUAUCCAGCCCAAGAGCCAUCUCUCAUCUGGUGUGUGGAGGCAGCCAAAGGAUGGCAAAGAAUGGGGCGAGGAAUAUGUCACGAAAGACCACCCAGAUAAACUCAAGGAUGCUGGCCAGGGCAGACACAGCUCCUUGGAAAAUGUUUUAUGUGAAACCUCUUUAGCUGCUAAAAGACAGACUGUGGCUCUGGAACUGCUUGAGUCAGAGAGAAAAUAUGUCAUUAACAUCUCUCUGAUCCUGAAGAUCAAGGCAACAUUCCAAGGGUCAGAUGGAAAGAGGAAUUCCAAAGAGAGAAGCCUCUUCCCUGGCUCUUUACGGUACCUUGUCCAGCAGCACCUUGAUUUGCUUCAUGCUCUGCAAGAAAGGGUCCUGAAGUGGCCACGCCAAGGAGUUCUUGGAGAUUUAUUCCUUAAGUUGACAAAUGAUGAGAACAAUUUCUUGGAUUAUUACGUUGCCUACCUAAGGGACCUGCCUGAAUGCAUCUCUUUGGUUCAUGUUGUUGUUCUGAAGGAGGGUGACGAAGAGAUUAAAUCUGACAUCUACACACUGUUUUUUCACAUAGUUCAGCGCAUCCCUGAGUAUCUGAUACAUCUGCAGAAUGUCCUGAAGUUCACAGAGCAGGAACACCCUGACUAUUAUCUACUUCUGGUGUGUGUUCAGCGCCUCCGAGUAUUUAUCUCGCAUUACACCUUGCUGUUUCAAUGCAAUGAGGAUUUGCUUAUUCAGAAACGGAAAAAGCUCAAGAAGUCAUCCAUGGCGAAGCUGUACAAAGGGCUGGCUUCCCAGUGUGCAAAUACUGGACAAGAUGCUUCCCCUACUACUGGCCCUGAGGCUGUCCGUGACAGUGGGAUCCACUCAGAAGAGAUACUGCAACCCUACCCUUCUGCUCCCAGUUCUGGCCCUGCUGUCACACAUUUGAUGCCCCCCGUGAAGAAGAGCCAACAACAGCAAAGCCUGAUGGAGAGCAUGCAGCCUGGGAAGCCCAGUGAGUGGGAGAUGGAGGGCAGAAAGCACGAGAGGCCCGAGAGCCUCCUGGCGCCGGCGCAGUUCUGUGCGGCCGAGCAGGACGUGAAGGCGCUCGCCGGGCCCCUGCAGGCCAUCCCCGAGAUGGACUUCGAGCCCUCGCCCGCCGAGCCGCUGGGCAACGUGGAGCGGUCCCUGCGCGCCCCGGCCGAGCUCCUGCCCGACGCCCGCGGCUUCGUGCCCGCGGGCUAUGAGGAGUUCGAGUACGGCGGCGAGAUCUUCGCGCUGCCCGCGCCCUACGACGAGGAGCCGUUUCAGGCCCCGGCCCUCUUCGAGAACUGCUCGCCCGCCUCUUCCGAGUCCAGCCUGGACAUCUGCUUCCUGCGGCCCGUCAGCUUCGCCAUGGAGGCCGAGCGGCCGGAGCACCCGCUGCAGCCGCUGCCCAAGAGCGCCACGUCUCCGGCGGGCAGCAGCAGCGCCUACAAGCUGGAGGCGGCGGCGCAGGCGCACGGCAAGGCCAAGCCGCUGAGCCGCUCGCUCAAGGAGUUCCCGCGCGCGCCGCCCCCCGAGGGCGUGGCCCCGCGCCUCUACAGCACGCGCAGCAGCAGCGGCGGCCGCGCGCCGCUCAAGGCCGAGCGCGCCGCGCAGCCGCACGGCCAGGCCGCCGCCGCAGCCGCCGCCGCCGCCCGCGGCGCGCCCAGGACCUUCUUCCCCCAACAGAGGUCCCAAAGCGAAAAGCAGACCUAUUUGGAAGUAAGGAGGGAGAUGCAUUUAGAAGACACCACCAGAUUCUGUCCGAAGGAAGAAAGAGAAAGCGAACAAACAUCUUUCAGCGAUCAAAACCCCAGGCAAGACCAGAAAGGGGGCUUUCGCAGCUCCUUCCGCAAGCUCUUUAAAAAGAAUUACAGAGUUCCUCAAACGUUAAAGACUAAUGUCUCAUCCAGAAGAAAAGAUUUUAGAACAGAAGGCUGUACGAGAUUUUAAAAACAGAGAUUUAUAUCGAUUUCAUCACAAUCCUCCCUUUCAAGAAUCUACUUGCUGUUCUGCAAAUCUAUUUGUCAGUUUCUCUGUACCAGUAGCUGCCAACUCUCCCAUCAAAUCCCUGGUCCAGGUUACUUCGAACGGGAGCUGCAGUGACUUUUUUCUGCUGCCUUGUCUCCUUCACUUGAGAACUAUUCUUUGAUAAUACUUCACUGCACAGUUCUUCAAAACCUUAGGAAUUCAAAAUAUACCUAUGUUAAUAUGCAGAAGACAGCACGCUAAAUCUGAGGUGAUAAUUCAAUCCUUUCUUCUUAGGUACCUAUUUUGAUUGACACUUGACAUUUUAUUUGGCAAGGUCAAUGAAAAUUUAUGAAAUAUUUGUUACAUGGAGUUAUUUAUGUCAAGAAUGCCCCUCCCCCCACCAUAGUGAACCGCUGUUAAUCAGGAUGUCUGUUCAUGUGAUAAUUCUCCCUUUAAUACAGCCAUUUAAAAAGCCACAAGGAACAAUAAGCUUCUCAACAAGGAUUUAUAAACAAUCACUCUUGAAUUCCUUAAAAAAGGAAACAGACGCUAUGCUGACGCACAAACACUUAAAAAAAAUUAUCAGAGAGUUUAAAAAUAGAACAGCACUGCCCUAUAGAUCAAAAAUUGUUCAAAAGAUUUUUUUUUUUAAAGUUAAGACACCCAAACCGAACUUAGAUAGGCCGCAAACUCAAAAGAAAGCUAAUGCAGGUUUUUGAGGAUUUUCUGAGGGUGUAAAAUAGCAAUAAAUACUUUAAAGAAAACUAUCAACCGGCUUGUGUUUUUUCAAUAUCAUUUUCUAGAAAAGAGUACCACACACAGGAUACACCUUUUUUCCACACUUCAAUAUGAAAAGCUUGUAUUUGUACACAAUAUCAGUUCUGAAUUUUCCCUACCUCAUGGUCACCUCAUUUCUCUAAAGUAAGAUUGUCAAACCAGAUACACCAUUACCAAACAUUUCUUUACUCGUGUCGUUUUAAGUCUCAAUAAUUAAUCUGUACUUUAUUUCCUUCCGGUAACUCUGAAACAGAAUUAAAAUUCCUACUCUCAUCUCUUUUUUAUGAACCUUGCUUUGUGCUCCUCUUAAGGUAGGUAAGAAAGUCUCUUCGUAUUCUUGCCAGAUUCAGAAUGAUCUAACUAGACAGUGUCCCCUCUCCAGCAUUUCAAAUGGAUUCCAAAGUUCUGAUGCAGUGAGCAAAUUAGUCUAUGUCCAGAAAUACUGGAUCUCAGAGAUAAGCUAUAAAUCAGAUUCCAUGUAAGACCCUGGUGUAGUCUUUUAAGCGACAAUUAAGCAUUUUCUAAUUUACCUAAAUUUAACUUUUUCUCCCAGAAAGCUUUCCUAUACAGAGCAAACAUCACCAGUAAACUGGGUUUUGUUAAAAAGUAAAAUUAUGAUGCGCAAUAUCUAACUGUAUACUAAAAUCUAUGCAUUAAAAUGGAAGUUUAUCUAUAGCCAGAGAUUAUUAUUUAUUUCAAUAAGAGGAAAAAAAAUUAGUCUGCUUACAUCUUCAUAGUAAACUUGUGUUUGUCCAAUAAGGAAAAAGCCACUUAUAUUACUGGCAAUUCAAACCAACCAAGAAGUUCUCUUUAUUUUUAUUAUUUGAUAUCUAUAAUAAAAAUGUAUUUUAAUACUGAAAAAAUUUGUCUUACAUGAGUCACUGUAACAUGGUGAAAAGUACAGUAUGUUAAGAAUCAAGAAACCUAAGUUUUAGUCUUCAUUCUGCAAUUAAUUGGUAUGACUUCUGGAAAAUCAUGUAACUUUCAGGGGCUUUGGGUUUUUGUGUAUUAGUGAGAGAUUGGUCAUCUUGUCUAACACUGCAAAUCUAUAGCUCUGCUUCAAAAUUACUGUUAAAAACACCUGAGGGAUCAAGUUGGCUAAAGCCAUAGUGAAGUCUGAAUUAAGUAAGGUUAAACCAGUUUUUCUUCUGGGGUGUUUUGUUUUGUUUUGGUUUUUGUUUGUUUUUUUGGACAAUUUCUGAACAAUCCAGAACCUAGAAAAUGGUCUGUAAGUGGUGCUUAAUGGAUAUUAAAUUUUCUCAUAUAUUACAGCCAAUGUCUUUUAUUAAAAUUCUGUAUAAUAAAAAUGUGCAAGUUAAAUUUUAGCCUUUAUUUCAGCCCAUUUUGCACUGAAUGUUCUCUCCAAUAAAAAUAUCUACCAACUAAACCUCUCGCCCACCUCUGCAAAAUAGCAGACCAAUAAUUCUAAAAACAAAUGGUAACUUGAUCUCUUAUUAUUGUAGUGAGGACUCAAGAGUACUUUCGAGCUGAAAGAGAUCUUAAAAAAUAAUUGCUUUCAUGUUUACGAGUUCAUAGACAUCUACUGAAAACAAAUCCCAUAUUGCCAGUAACAUGUUUGUGACAGACCUUAUAGAAGAGCUCAAAUAAACUAGUAAUUAAUACUAAUUUGUAGGUAUUGUGAACCACAACUCAAGAAAGUUGCUUGUGUAUGCCAGUUACACCAGUAAUAUACCUUCAUGACCUAUGUUAAAAUAUCCAAUUAAGCCUCAAAAGAAGAAAGAAAAGAAAAAUGCAAAAAAAAAAAAAAAAACACAAAAAAAACUUGGCCACAUUUCUAGUCAACACUGGCAUUUUAUUCCUCAAGAAAUUAAUGAAAUGAAUUUUUGAAAAACUUUAAUUUCUUAAAAAAGUAAAGCAAUCUUGUCAAUUUAAAUGUGAAACACUUUGCAAAGUGUUACAAAUCUAGAAAUUUCAGUGUUUUAUACUAACUAGAAAUAAAACCAUUUAAAAUACGAUUCUAUUCAAAAGCUAAAAGUUAAAUACAAAUAAGAGGAACUAUCAAAAGUAAUUAGUAAGACAGCACAGCAAAAGUACUAUGUCUACACACUAGGCUAGCAUCAUGCAUGUCAAGGAGAGAAACUUCAGAUACCCUAGAAAAACUUUCAGCUAUGCUUGUUCAAGUUUUGUUUUAAAGUGUCCUCAUUCAAAAAAUAAAUAAAAAGCACAGUUCCCAGAAAAUAUUUAAUUGUAAUUCUGCAACUGCUUACUAAUGAUGUUAGUUCUAUGAAAUGUAGCAGUCUAAAAAAAAAUUUAUCAUCAACAAUCAAGUUUUACAGAAACAAUUAUAUUAAAAAAUUUGGAAUCUGAAAAUGUUUUCCAACUCCAGUACCACUGAGGUCUGAUAGUAAACACUAGUUGAGUCUUUAGCACUUUUCUACUUACACUGCUCUACAGGAAAGAAACAAAACAAAAUAGUACAACUUUUGUCUUAGGUAGAUAAAAAUCCAAGGAUUAAUUUUACUUUAAACAGUCUUUUCCACACUUCAACAUGAAAAUUAUUCCAUAGUUUUCAUAUUGAAGAACUCAAAACAAAGGUAUUUAAAAUCAAAGGAUGAAUGGUUUAGAGUGCUUAUGCUAAAGAAAUCAGGGAAUCUUGUAAGAGCCUUAAAAAUCAGAAUGUGGCAAGAAGAGCAAUCUGAGCUUAUAGAACAUUAAAAAUUCCUUUAAAAAGCAAAGAAAUAAAUAUUUUGCAACCGUAAUUUUCGAGUAACUUAAUGAACAUCUUUGUAGUUGUAUUCUAGAUCUUAAAGAGUAUACAGAAGUUGAUGAAGAUCACAAAAUAGAUUGGUCAUAUUAAUAUAAAUGGUAUUUCUUGAAAAGUUUCAUAUGUAAAAAAGAUACCAGAAUAAUCGUUUUCUUUUUCAUGUAAAAUCCUAGGCAGAUUAUUUAACUUUCCCAUGCUUAGUUUUUUUCAUUUUUGAGUCAGUAAAAUGAAUACACUGACUGCAUACGUUUCUAGGUGAAAAAUCAACAGAAAAAUUGGAAUCCCAGGCUAGUCUUCUUUCACUAUCUUCAACAUGUGUCAGCUCCUGCCUGCUACUACCAAAUGGAAUCUGUUUAGAGAACCCAAAAUGCUUUUAAUAGCCUACAAAAAACACUAAUAUUUCACUAUGGAAAAGGCUAUCAAAAGAACCACCAAUUAGAGGCUAAAUAAAAAUUAAAAAACAAAACAAAAUCCUGGCUUAUUUAUUACAGAGACAUGUGGAGAUCAUGAGAUAUUAUAUUCAUAAAAGUGCUUUGGUAUCACUGAUAAAAAUAUUCUAACUUGAUUUCACUCUUUUGAAGGAGGCCCUGAUAGUUUCCAGGCCAUUUAAGUAGUUCUGACUGGACAUGUAAUAAGUUGAAUAUAUCAACAUUAUCAAAAGUUAUUCAUCUUUCUUACAGUGGAUCUUUAAAAGUUUAAUUUAACUGGUGCCAGAACACCUUCCAGAGAGAACUGAGAACCUAUUUAGAGGACUUUAAAUAAAUGAAAACACAAAACACUAAUAAAAAAAAAAAAAACCCUCCCUCAGAAACACACAUCUUCUAGAAACAGGAAUAUAUUUAAGCAGGAAGUAUAGGGAUGGAGGUUAACUUUCACAUUCGACUACUUAGAGCAGCAUUUAUGUUUUAAGAGUUAUGUUUUGAGUUAAUAUCUCUUUAUAAUUAAAAACACUCUUUGAAAGUAAGUUUACAUUUAUGUUUACAAGGAGUUUUUACAGGUCGUAGUUCAUCUAUUCUUUCCAAGUCUGAGGUUGCUGUUGUGAUGCUCAUUUUUGAGAUGGAAACUGAGGUUCUGGGACCUGAAGGAACUGUGAUAGAGUGAGCAUGGAAAUCCAGAUUUGUUGCUCUUUCAACUAUACCAUACGCUACAGUUUACAAUUUCCAAUCUUUCCAUUGUGUAGGAAAGUUGAAGGUCGAGGAACACUGGAUUAUCAUGGGUGACUUUCUAGAAGAAAUAAAAUUACUUUAAAAAAAGAAUCAUUAUGUUUGUUUCUUAACUCUCAAAAAUUACAUUUGAUUUGGUCUCUACUAAUCUUCCUAGGUAGUCUGGACAUGUUUGUCUCUAAAAACUGCCCUGCUGAGGUAAAAUUGUUUUCUUAAAUGACAUCGGUUGUAAAGUGCAAAAAAACCUGAAACCUUUAAUGACUUUCAGGAUUGCUAAAUUUAACUAAGUUUUAGGAACAGAAAUUAGGAAAAAACAAUGCUGUGCAUAUUUGUACUACAGCACAAUUGUGGUGAUGAAUGUACACUAAAAUUUUUACUGACUUUAUAAUCUCAGUAAUGGAAAGAGAAGAAAGAAAAAAGAAAAAGAGGUAAAAGUCGUUAGACCCUAAUGAUGAUGAUUUAGCACUACUUUUAGUUUUGUUUCCACCACUAAUUGGAUAAAUUUAGCCAAGUGAUUUUAUAUUCCCAUUUGUAAUUCUGGUUAUAAAGUUAAAAAUAAUAUGUGAAUGUGGUAGCAAAAGUAUAAAUGGCAGUAUUUUUAGGUAAAGGAAAAUGAACUCGAAAUAAUGCAGAAGAUCUUUUGUUGUUAGUCUGCUUUCUAUUUUAGGCACAGUGACUUGUGCAGCAAAGAAAAUCAGCUGGAAGCAGGAAAAUAAAAGUGACAGGCCACUUUUUAUUCCUUACCUGCAU